UUGAACGCUGGCGGCAGGCCUAACACAUGCAAGUCGAACGGUAACAGGAAGCAGCUUGCUGUUUCGCUGACGAGUGGCGGACGGGUGAGUAAUGUCUGGGAAACUGCCUGAUGGAGGGGGAUAACUACUGGAAACGGUAGCUAAUACCGCAUAACGUCGCAAGACCAAAGAGGGGGACCUUCGGGCCUCUUGCCAUCGGAUGUGCCCAGAUGGGAUUAGCUAGUAGGUGGGGUAACGGCUCACCUAGGCGACGAUCCCUAGCUGGUCUGAGAGGAUGACCAGCCACACUGGAACUGAGACACGGUCCAGACUCCUACGGGAGGCAGCAGUGGGGAAUAUUGCACAAUGGGCGCAAGCCUGAUGCAGCCAUGCCGCGUGUAUGAAGAAGGCCUUCGGGUUGUAAAGUACUUUCAGCGGGGAGGAAGGGAGUAAAGUUAAUACCUUUGCUCAUUGACGUUACCCGCAGAAGAAGCACCGGCUAACUCCGUGCCAGCAGCCGCGGUAAUACGGAGGGUGCAAGCGUUAAUCGGAAUUACUGGGCGUAAAGCGCACGCAGGCGGUUUGUUAAGUCAGAUGUGAAAUCCCCGGGCUCAACCUGGGAACUGCAUCUGAUACUGGCAAGCUUGAGUCUCGUAGAGGGGGGUAGAAUUCCAGGUGUAGCGGUGAAAUGCGUAGAGAUCUGGAGGAAUACCGGUGGCGAAGGCGGCCCCCUGGACGAAGACUGACGCUCAGGUGCGAAAGCGUGGGGAGCAAACAGGAUUAGAUACCCUGGUAGUCCACGCCGUAAACGAUGUCGAUUUGGAGGUUGUGCCCUUGAGGCGUGGCUUCCGGAGCUAACGCGUUAAGUCGACCGCCUGGGGAGUACGGCCGCAAGGUUAAAACUCAAAUGAAUUGACGGGGGCCCGCACAAGCGGUGGAGCAUGUGGUUUAAUUCGAUGCAACGCGAAGAACCUUACCUGGUCUUGACAUCCACGGAAGUUUUCAGAGAUGAGAAUGUGCCUUCGGGAACCGUGAGACAGGUGCUGCAUGGCUGUCGUCAGCUCGUGUUGUGAAAUGUUGGGUUAAGUCCCGCAACGAGCGCAACCCUUAUCCUUUGUUGCCAGCGGUCCGGCCGGGAACUCAAAGGAGACUGCCAGUGAUAAACUGGAGGAAGGUGAGGAUGACGUCAAGUCAUCAUGGCCCUUACGACCAGGGCUACACACGUGCUACAAUGGCGCAUACAAAGAGAAGCGACCUCGCGAGAGCAAGCGGACCUCAUAAAGUGCGUCGUAGUCCGGAUUGGAGUCUGCAACUCGACUCCAUGAAGUCGGAAUCGCUAGUAAUCGUGGAUCAGAAUGCCACGGUGAAUACGUUCCCGGGCCUUGUACACACCGCCCGUCACACCAUGGGAGUGGGUUGCAAAAGAAGUAGGUAGCUUAACCUUCGGGAGGGCGCUUACCACUUUGUGAUUCAUGACUGGGGUG
rnacentral:rRNA from 1 species